GCUCCCAUAGCUCAAGCGGCGAGAGCGGCACGACGAUGACGUGUCAGCACUAGAUGGGUGCAAGGUCCGGGUUCGAGUCCCGGUGGGAGCA
rnacentral:tRNA from 1 species